AUUUUUGUUGCAAGACCUUGACAAUGGCUAGCGGUCUGGCGACUCAUGCCUUACGCCUCGGUCGUCAAAAUUUGCCAGCUGCAGCAAGUACAACAUACCUUCAGAAAAGACAUGCUGGUAGUGAAUUAGCAGCAUGCAAGAGGGGGCGAGGUGGCAGGUCCUCUUUCAGUGGAGUGGUGGCCACUGUCUUUGGAGCCUCCGGAUUUAUGGGACGGCAUAUCGUGAACAGAUUAGGGAGAAUUGGUUCUCAAGUAAUUAUUCCAUACAGAGGAGACACUUUUAGACUAGAAAGACUGAGGCUAUGUGGAGACCUGGGUCAGAUUUUGUUUACACCUAUGGACAGUAUUUACCAUGAGGAUCAGAUGAGAAAAGCAAUGAUGCACUCCAAUGUAGUGAUCAAUUUGAUUGGCAAAGAGUAUGAAUCGGACUCCUAUGACUUUCAUGACUUGUAUGUUGAUGCUCCAGCCAAUAUUGCUAGAAUUGCAAAGGAGAUGGGUGUUGAGAGAUUCAUCCAUUUCUCGCAUCUGAAUGCAGACCCUAAUCCUCCCGAACUGAUUUAUUUUGGGACUGAUCUCCCAAGAGGAAACUCCAGUCUAAAGAAAAAGUGGGAAGGUGACCAACUGGUGAGGGAAAUAUUCCCAGAAGCUAUUAUUUUCAGACCUGCAGACAUAUAUGGAAUUAAAGAUUGGUAUUUCUUCAAGUAUAUUUACCAUCGCCGUUACAGUAAGAUUAGACAUGCAAUUCCCAUAUGGAGAGAGGGAAUGGACACAGUGAAACAGCCAGUGUGGUCGAGUGAUGUAGCUGCUGGAGUGCUGAACGCUGUAUUUGAUACAGAUGCCCCAGGAAAUACCUAUUACUGUGUUGGGUUAGUUGUUACUCUUACAGUCACAAAGGAAACUUAUUCAAUAUUUUAAUGUUAUAAUAUUAAUAUUCAGUAUUUUCAUGUUACUAAUAUUCAAAGGAAAUUUAUUCAAUAUUUUCAUGUUAUAAUGUUGAUUUUCAAAGGAAAUUUUUUCAAUAUAUCAUUAUGGUGUAGUAUUAAUAAAAAGUUAACUUUUACAAUAUUUUCAUGGUGUAAUGUAUGCUAUUAAGUUCAUUGAAAGGAUCGGUAGUUAUGAACUGGCUAAUUUGGAUGUGUACAUGUGCACAUUCAAUUUAUUCAUUGAAGUAACUUUUAUUAUGAAAUUGAAAUGUGAUUGAAAAGGUUCAUUUAUUUACAUGCUCUUCAUGAAGUAUUGCAUUAUAUAAAGUGUAAAAAUAAUAACUUGUACAUUGUAAUUUUGUACAUUUUGUGUCACCACAACACUGCACAGAAUAUCCUGAAACUUUGUAGUUAAUUAGGACAAUGUGUAGAUGUGCGUAUUACCUUGAAAUUUAAAUCCCAUUAUUUUUCUGGGAAUGUUGACUGUUUUGAACUCAACAUUUAGGCCACUUCACAGAAUUUUGAGAAACUUUUUAGGUAUUCAGGACAAAAUGUGCAUAUUUCCAAAAAAUUCAGAUUACAUAAUUUGCUGCAAAAUUGGCCCUUUUGAAUUAAGGAUUUGGUAUUAAAAUCAAAUUAUGUGAGCUACACCCCUUUAUAGAAUAAUUUUGUGUAUUUGAUGUGUACCCUAUCAUUUAUUAUGUGUAGCAUUGUCAAGUAAUUGAGGGGCAGGGCUAUUUGAGCUUGCUCACUUUUUCUUUCAUUUUUCAUAUUUUUUUUCAGUCCUGAGAGAUACUGUCUUAACAACAUGGUCGAUCACAUUACCAAGAUAUGCGCCAGAGAAUUCAGAUAUAUCACUGAUAUCGACGUUUCUUACAUACGAAAGUUGAUUAGACAGAGGAAAAACAGAAUUGUCAAUAUUGACACCUUGCAGAGAGAGGCCUUGUCUGAUCUAAUUGUGCAAAGACAUUUGGCCAAGACUCUGGAGGAUCUUGGUGUGCAGCCUCGUAGUUUACAAGACAUGGCCCCAAUAGUCACCAACCCGUACAUGGCCUUCAAAUCUAUGGAUGAUGAAUACAUCAAAACAAAGUACACUAUUCCAAAACUCAUAUCAGUGGAUGAUUGAGGAGGAAAGGAAACUCCAUUGAUUGAACAGAGACUUUAAAUUCAGACAAAAUUGUUACACAAGUGCUUGAGUUAUGUGACUGAUAUUUAAAUAAUUAAAAGUGAUAUAAUGGAAA
rnacentral:misc_RNA from 1 species